rnacentral:rRNA from 1 species
CCUACGGGUGGCAGCAGUGGGGAAUAUUGCACAAUGGGGGAAACCCUGAUGCAGCGACGCCGCGUGAGUGAAGAAGGAAUUCGUUAUGUAAAGCUCUAUCUGCAGGGAAGAAAAUGACGGUACCUGAGUAAGAAGCCCCGGCUAACUACGUGCCAGCAGCCGCGGUAAUACGUAGGGGGCAAGCGUUAUCCGGAUUUACUGGGGUUAAAGGGAGCGUCGGCGGGAGUGCAAGUCUGGAGUGAAAGGCGGGGGCUCAACCCCCGGACUGCUCUGGAAACUGUACGGCUGGAGUGCAGGAGAGGUAAGUGGAAUUCCUAGUGUAGCGGUGAAAUGCGUAGAUAUUAGGAGGAACACCGGUGGCGAAGGCAGCUUGCUGGA